CAGCUAUGUGCUCCGGUGGGCGAGGAAGAAGCUGAGUUAUGCCCUGUGCGGGGGGCAACAUAGAGACCAUCCAAUAAUUGGUGAGAUCAGACAAAGAUAAUCUGAACUGUUCUGUCCUGCAGCCAGCAGAACACUCUGAUGAUGGCUUGCAGGAUGAACAGGGGCCUGCAAAGCCAGUGCUCAUGGCUCCUGAACACAACUUCCCUCUCGAGAUCUGGGCCGCAUUUUUCCAGGAGCAUUCAGAAGAUCUCAAAUCAGCUCUGCAGCGGUUUCAACGAGAGAUCGAGGGGCUCUCCAGCAAGGAGUGUUAAUGAGCAUCUGAACUUCCAAGGAAACAAGGUGAUUAGGAUAAAAAAAUAAUCAGAACAAAUCCCCCUUGAUUGGAAUGAAAGGAACAAAGAAAUGACAAAAUGAUAAUGUUUUCGGGGAAAACUCCAAAGAGAACAUCUCAGAAGAACACAGAAAAAAGAUGUUGAGCUCCUGCAAGAGGGUGAAGAGGUAAAGGAAACAGCUGUCUUGAGAUGUAGAGUCUAGUUUGUUCGCUCAUAAUGAUCGGCAGGAACGGAGGAUACUUUUCUGAUUCUAAGUCUAGGACCAGCUGUCCUUUUUGGUGCUGAAUGUACCAAUAUGAAUGGAGAUGAUUACCACUCUUGAACUAUCCUAUAAAAAGAGUAAGUCUGGAGGCACUUUCUAAUGUAAAUACAUGGAAGAAAGAAAAUGAACUGGAAUAUUUUUUUACGAAAACAAGUACUGGAGCAUUGCAAGUCACAUUCAUACUCUUCCUGUGUCUUUGGCACAGACGUCUCUCCUUGUAUAACUUGAGUGAAAUGGGCUGUCAAUUCUGUUUGUGUGAGAAAAGUGUGGUUUCCUUCCAUCUAACCAUUGCCUCU